UACGUUACGUGCUCUCGAUUUUCCUCAACAGAACCCACAGUCACCUUAAGAGCGUCAAACUCUGUGCCAAUAUGUCUGUUAAAAACAUCAUCACCAGUGAUCUGCUGUUUGACCCCGGUACAGUUUGAUCUUGAUCGUGCAAACCAUCUCCCAGGUUUGUCAGCAGUAAGAGUGGUCACAUCCUGGAGAUCGACUAUGUUGCCGUGGCGAUAAAAAACAUCAGGAGGCUUCUUCCAGCUCAGGAGACCCACAGCCACCAAAGGAAACAGACCUUUAGCACAGGUGCCAGUAUUGCAGUGAACAGCAUCAGUGUGUGUGAUGAAUUCUGCGUUACUGGUUCAGAGGAUGGAUUCAUGCGUCUGUGGCCUCUAGACUUCUCAUCUGUUUUCUUAGAGGCAGAGCACGAGGGGCCUGUCAGUUUGGUGUGCGUGUCCUCGGACGGCUCGGGAGUUCUAGCAGCCACAACCACAGGGAAUCUUGGGUAUCUGGAUGUCAGUAGCCGCGGUUACCGUACACUCAUGAGGUCACACACGGCGAGUGUUUUGGGCUGUAGUGUGGACGGCGUUAGAAGGCGGGUCACCACAGUGUCCAGAGACAGCACUUUACGGGUGUGGGACAUGGACACCAUGCAACAGCUCUAUGAUUUUGUCUCUGAUGAUGAUGAAAGUCCCUGUUCAGUUGCGUUCCAUCCCAGCAUGCCUCUCUUCACUUGUGGAUCGAGCUCUGGAACUGUCAGAGUGUUUGAUAUCCAAACAUCAAGCCUAAUUGCCCAGCACAGAGCUGUGAGUGUGUGUGUUGGUCGUCUCCGAGGGGUGUGUAUGAGCCCAGCGGGCGUGUGUGUGUUGCGGGCGCUUACAGUGACGGGACUGUGAGGAUCUUCAGUCUGGAGUCGACCGAGAUGGAGCUGAAACUACAACCUCAGCCUGUGUCUGUGUGCGCUGCAGUACUCGCACUACGGUCACGUGCAGUUGUCUGGUGGUCGUGAUGGUCUCAUUACUGUCAGCAGUCCUGUCACUGGAGUCACUGUACGCACCAUCCGUGACCACAAGGGGGCGCCCAUAACUACAGUGCAGUGCACCAGCAAACAGUAUAAGGAGUUUGGUCUGGAGGGAAAUGAGCUCUGGUUGGCUGUAAGUGCAGACAGGCGUGUCAGCAUCUGGGCAGCUGAUUGGACGAAGGAGAAAUGCGAGCUGCUUGAUUGGCUGACGUUUCCAGCGCCCAGCCCACCAGAGGAUGCACUGGCACUACCACCCAGUUUAGCAGCGUUCAGCCCCAGCGAGAGAGGAACGGUGGUUUAUACCGGCUACGCUGUGGAAAAAGAGAUCAUCUUUUACUGCCUUUACAAAAAACAGGUUUUGAGGACGAUCUCUCUGGCUGAUUGGGCGCUCUGUCUCAGUCUCUGCUCAACUGGAAGGCUGAUCGCUGUUGGAUCAAACCGUUAGUGCGCUGUUAUGCUUUAAAACAUGAAAGUACCGUAUUGGCCCGAAUAUAAGACG